AUUGAACGCUGGCGGCAGGCCUAACACAUGCAAGUCGAACGAGUGGCGGACGGGUGAGCAAUGUCUGGGAAACUGCCUGAUGGAGGGGGAUAACUACUGGAAACGGUAGCUAAUACCGCAUACCAUCAGAUGUGCCCAGAUGGGAUUGGCUUGUUGUUUGGGUAACGGCUCACAAAGGCGACGAUCCCUAGCUGGUCUGAGCGGAUGACCAGCCACACUGUAACUGAGCCACGGUCCAGACUCCUACGUGAGGCAGCAGGGGGGAAUAGUGCAAAAUGGGCGCAAGCCUGAUGCAGCCAUGCCGCGUGUAUGAAGAAGGCCUUCGGGUUGUAAAGUACUUUCAGCGGGGAGGCGUUACCCGCAGAAGAAGCACCGGCUAACUCCGUGCCAGCCGCCGCGGUAAUAC
rnacentral:rRNA from 1 species